rnacentral:lncRNA from 1 species
UUUUUUCUUUCUUUGCUAAUAUGUAAUAGAUCACUUCUAAGUCUAAAUUUAAGAUGCUGGCAGAGAAUGCCAAUCUCUUGGGAAAUUAAAGAAUGUCACUAUUUCCUGGUAUACCUGGGUAUUAAAUAAAAUAAUCCCUCAAACAGUUAUGAGAUAAUGCAUCCAGAAGCAAAAAGUAAUAAUAGUAUUGAGUUAAGAAAACCACAGUAAUAUGUUUUAGCACACAUCAGUGCAGCACUCUGUGUUAUAAGAUUGUGCUCAAAGCAAUGAUCAGACAUCUAGCCUGUAGCAUUUCAUAACUAAAAUGUUGGUGUUUGGUAAGUGGAGUGGGAUGAUAAAAUAGUUUACAACAACAGGGCAUAUUUCAGGAUGUACCUAAUUCCAUUUUAUUUAUACAUUAGCACACUAGUACCGGAGCACUACAAAUGGCACGUCAGAGGAGGCCUGCCCUCAUCCACCGUUAUGUCUAUCUGAGAAAGUGCAAACAUGCUUUAAAUCAGUCAAGCAAAACCUAAUCGCUGAAGAGCUUCCUCCUAACCUUUUGUCAGCAUGAAUUCUUUUACCCUUCUGGUGAGGAAAAAAUCCCCAACAUACCUGUACAAAUAUGAAUCCUCCCAAAUUCUGCAAAGCUGUGUGAUAGCUUCUGAAUUUUGUUACCAUGGUGCAAUUCUGAUUCUUGAUAAAAAUACUUCCUAUCAUUAUGUUCACAUUCCUAAUGUUUUAAUUUUAUCUGCAACGAUCUCUUGGUUUUGUAUUAUACAAAAGUAGCUAUUCAUAUAUCACAAAAUUAAAACCCUGUGUAGCAUCUUAUGUUCUUCAUCUGCCCCAAAUUCCAGGUUGAUUUGUCCCUGUUCACUGGGCAGAAAUGAUCAUGUAGAUUCAUAAAGCAAUUAUCUGUGUUCUUACUGAAAUUUAUAGCCAGUAGUGCACUCAAGAGGCAGCAAUUAUUCAUUUUAAUGUGCCUAUUUAUUUAAUCAUGUUAAAAUUUGCUUUAAUUUCUCAGCCUUUUCUACUGUCUUAAAAGAAAUGCAAACUGAAUCAUGAUAUUCUGCUGCUCACCUUUCUUUUCCGUAUCGUUUUCAUUUUUUAAAAUAUUCUAGUAGAACACUUGGUAGCUCAACAUUAAAUGAUUUCAUAGGAAAAAAAAGGUGGGGUUUGUUCAUUUUUGUUUCUAUGCUAGGUCCUAACCAAAAGAAAUUUGUUCACAGCCAAGCAACUAAUUAAAACAAUGUAUCCAGGCAGCAGAGGCACUCUGACUUUUAGAAGUCAAAUUAUGUAGUGAACUUCUUUUUUUAAUAAGAUAAUUUUUGGUUCUUUAUCAAUUUUAUGUUAGAGGAGCACGUCAUCUGCAGAAACCACUGAAAGUCUUCACAGCAAAAUUCCUGUUUUCUAUUUACUUAGACCACACAGGAAAUGGAAGUGAAGGGUAAGGAUCAUCAGUUUGAAGAAUCUCCAAAAAGAGCAGAAUAAAAUCAGCUGUGGAAAGGUCUUGAGGUCAUUGUUACAUUCAAUUAAAUUUUUACCAUCUACAUAGGUAUGGAUUCACAUGCCUAAUACCAAAAUGUAUUGGCAUUACUAGAGAAAAAUCUUCUAGUAAUAAGAAAUAAGAAACAGUAAAUAGACUACUUGGUUUCUUACCCCUGCUGCUAACAGAACUGAAUUUCAGAACCAAAUCCUACAAUGCACAGGAUCAAGUCAUAACACAUACAAAAUGAAUGCAACAAAGCAAACUGAACAUGUAAAGACUGCAAUUACAGCAGAUGUAUGGGCAAGACGUUUAAUACUGUGCUGGGCUGAAUACCUCACAAUUUUUUUAUCUGCUAUUUUAAACCUUGCCAUC